UGAAUAAGAAUAUUUCCAUUCAUCAUAUAUUCUACCUUUGCACCAACAAGAUCCACAUAUCAUAUUACAAACGCUCAUGUUCUUUUAGACAUUAAAUUUUUUAAUCUUGAUUUAAACCUAUGAAUCCUUCUCAAACACCUCACAUAUUCACGAACAUGAUACAAGUAUAACAUUCAUUAAGAAAAAGAGUAAACAUUAAAUUGUUUGAUAGAAUAAAGUGAUAAUAAUAUCAUGAUUAUAUAAAGUACAUAUAAGUUAUAAUAUCGUAACUCCAACCAAAAAAAUAAGUUAACCAAUGGUGGCAGUGUAAAUAGAAAAACAAUAUAUGAUAUGCCAAUCUUCAACUUAUUCAAAUUCUGCAUGCCUUAAACAUAUAACAUCUCUCAACUUUAUUUCAUCGGUAAUAUUUAAAUUAAAUUAAGAGAAAAUAACCUAUUU
rnacentral:lncRNA from 1 species